rnacentral:rRNA from 1 species
GCGUGGAUGAAGAAGGUUUUCGGAUUGUAAAGUCCUUUCGGCGGGGACGAUGAUGACGGUACCCGCAGAAGAAGCCCCGGCUAACUUCGUGCCAGCAGCCGCGGUAAUACGAAGGGGGCUAGCGUUGCUCGGAAUGACUGGGCGUAAAGGGCGCGUAGGCGGAUUGUCUUGUCGGGCGUGAAAUUCCAGGGCUCAACCUUGGGUGGUCGUUCGAGACGGGCAGUCUAGAGUUUGGCAGAGGGUCGUGGAAUUCCCAGUGUAGAGGUGAAAUUCGU